AUGGGUUAAUUAUUGUUGGGUGCCUUAGGCAUUGAUGCUACAGACGGAAGUCAUCUGCUGUAGAAGCCCGAACGGAAACUUUUUGUUGAAGAAAUCUGGCUGGAGUCCGAUUGCUAGAGAAGUCUGUCUGAAAUUUAUCUGAUGUAGAAGCUUGUCUGAAGACUAUCCACUGGAGAGGUCUGGUUGCAUGGAAAAUUCGGCAGAAGGCCGACCAAUAGCGGAAUUCGGAAGGCAUUGUGGAAGUUCGUCCGCUGGAGGAGUCUAGAGGACACUG
rnacentral:lncRNA from 1 species